AGCAGCCGCGGUAAUUCCAGCUCCAAUAGCGUAUAUUAAAGUUGUUGCAGUUAAAAAGCUCGUAGUUGAAUUUCGGGACCAAUCUGCCGGUCGUGCCUCCGGUACGCACUGGUUUUAUUGGUUUCUCCCUUCUGACGAACCAUGAUGUCAUUAAUUUGGUGUCAUGGGGAAUCAGGACUGUUACUUUGAAAAAAUUAGAGUGUUUAUAGCAGGCUCACGCUUGAAUACAUUAGCAUGGAAUAAUGAAAUAGGACGUUUGACCCUAUUUUGUUGGUUUCUAGGAUCGACGUAAUGAUUAAUAGGGAUAGUUGGGGGCAUUAGUAUUCAAUUGUCAGAGGUGAAAUUCUUGGAUUUAUCGAAGACUAACUACUGCGAAAGCAUUUGCCAAGGAUGUUUUCAUUAAUCAAGAACGAAAGUUAGGGGAUCGAAGACGAUCAGAUACCGUCGUAGUCUUAACCAUAAACUAUGCCGACUAGGGAUCGGAUGAUGUAAUUUUUAAUGACUCAUUCGGCGCCUUAAC
rnacentral:rRNA from 1 species